UACAGGGGGUGCAAACGUUGCUCGGAAUCACUGGGCGUAAAGCGCACGUAGGCGGAUUGCUAAGUCAGGGGUGAAAUCCUGGAGCUCAACUCCAGAACUGCCUUUGAUACUGGCGAUCUUGAGUCCGGGAGAGGUGAGUGGAACUGCGAGUGUAGAGGUGAAAUUCGUAGAUAUUCGCAAGAACACCAGUGGCGAAGGCGGCUCACUGGCCCGAUACUGACGCUGAGGCACGAAAGCGUGGGGAGCAAACAGG
rnacentral:rRNA from 1 species